rnacentral:rRNA from 1 species
UACGGGGGGAGCAAGCGUUGUUCGGAAUUACUGGGCGUAAAGGGCGCGUAGGCGGCCUUCUAAGUCGAGCGUGAAAUCCCCGGGCUCAACCCGGGAACUGCGUCCGAUACUGGAAGGCUUGAAUCCGGGAGAGGGAUGCGGAAUUCCAGGUGUAGCGGUGAAAUGCGUAGAUAUCUGGAGGAACACCGGUGGCGAAGGCGGCAUCCUGGACCGGCAUUGACGCUGAGGCGCGAAAGCCAGGGGAGCAAACGGG